rnacentral:rRNA from 1 species
UGCAAGUCGAGCGGUAACACAGAGAGCUUGCUCUCGGGUGACGAGCGGCGGACGGGUGAGUAAUGUCUGGGAAACUGCCUGAUGGAGGGGGAUAACUACUGGAAACGGUAGCUAAUACCGCAUAACGUCGCAAGACCAAAGUGGGGGACCUUCGGGCCUCAUGCCAUCAGAUGUGCCCAGAUGGGAUUAGCUAGUAGGUGGGGUAAUGGCUCACCUAGGCGACGAUCCCUAGCUGGUCUGAGAGGAUGACCAGCCACACUGGAACUGAGACACGGUCCAGACUCCUACGGGAGGCAGCAGUGGGGAAUAUUGCACAAUGGGCGCAAGCCUGAUGCAGCCAUGCCGCGUGUAUGAAGAAGGCCUUCGGGUUGUAAAGUACUUUCAGCGAGGAGGAAGGCAUUAAGGUUAAUAACCUUGGUGAUUGACGUUACUCGCAGAAGAAGCACCGGCUAACUCCGUGCCAGCAGCCGCGGUAAUACGGAGGGUGCAAGCGUUAAUCGGAAUUACUGGGCGUAAAGCGCACGCAGGCGGUCUGUCAAGUCGGAUGUGAAAUCCCCGGGCUCAACCUGGGAACUGCAUUCGAAACUGGCAGGCUAGAGUCUUGUAGAGGGGGGUAGAAUUCCAGGUGUAGCGGUGAAAUGCGUAGAGAUCUGGAGGAAUACCGGUGGCGAAGGCGGCCCCCUGGACAAAGACUGACGCUCAGGUGCGAAAGCGUGGGGAGCAAACAGGAUUAGAUACCCUGGUAGUCCACGCCGUAAACGAUGUCGACUUGGAGGUUGUGCCCUUGAGGCGUGGCUUCCGGAGCUAACGCGUUAAGUCGACCGCCUGGGGAGUACGGCCGCAAGGUUAAAACUCAAAUGAAUUGACGGGGGCCCGCACAAGCGGUGGAGCAUGUGGUUUAAUUCGAUGCAACGCGAAGAACCUUACCUA